rnacentral:rRNA from 1 species
CCUACGGGAGGCAGCAGUGGGGAAUAUUGGACAAUGGGCGAAAGCCUGAUCCAGCCAUGCCGCGUGUGUGAAGAAGGCCUUCGGGUUGUAAAGCACUUUCAGUGGGGAAGAAAGCCUUGGGGCUAAUACCCUCGAGGAAGGACAUCACCCACAGAAGAAGCACCGGCUAACUCCGUGCCAGCAGCCGCGGUAAUACGGAGGGUGCGAGCGUUAAUCGGAAUUACUGGGCGUAAAGCGCGCGUAGGCGGUCUGAUAAGCCGGUUGUGAAAGCCCCGGGCUCAACCUGGGAACGGCAUCCGGAACUGUCAGGCUAGAGUGCAGGAGAGGAAGGUAGAAUUCCCGGUGUAGCGGUGAAAUGCGUAGAGAUCGGGAGGAAUACCAGUGGCGAAGGCGGCCUUCUGGACUGACACUGACGCUGAGGUGCGAAAGCGUGGGUAGCAAACAGGAUUAGUACCCUAGUAGUC